rnacentral:rRNA from 1 species
CUCAGUUCGGAUCGGAGUCUGCAACCCGACUCCGUGAAGCUGGAUUCGCUAGUAAUCGCGCAUCAGCCAUGGCGCGGUGAAUACGUUCCCGGGCCUUGUACACACCGCCCGUCAAGCCAUGGGANCCGGGGGUGCCUGAAGUUCGUGACCGCAAGGAGCGACCUAGGGCAAAACUGGUGACUGGGGCUAAGUCGUAACAAGGUACC